rnacentral:rRNA from 1 species
AGGGCACCACCAGGAGUGGAGCCUGCGGCUUAAUUUGACUCAACACGGGAAAACUCACCCGGCCCGGACACCGCGAGGAUUGACAGAUUGAUAGCUCUUUCAUGAUUCGGUGGAUGGUGGUGCAUGGCCGUUCUUAGUUCGUGGAGCGAUUUGUCUGGUUUAUCCCGAUAACGAGCGAGACUCUAGCCUACUAACUAGUCCGCAUGUUCGCUUGCUGCAUGCUUGGGACUUCUUAGAGGGAUUUUCGGCGUUUCAGCCGCACGAAACUGAGCAAUAACAGGUCUGUGAUGCCCUUAGAUGUCCGGGGCUGCACGCGCGCUACACUGGCGAAAUCAGCGUGCCUGUCCUCUCGCGAAAGCGACUGGUAAACCGGUGAAAAUUCGCCGUGAUUGGGAUCGGAAAUUGCAACUAUUUUCCGUGAACGAGGAAUUCCAAGUAAGUGCGAGUCAUCAACUCGCGUUGAUUACGUCCCUGCCCUUUGUACACACCGCCCGUCGCUGCCCGAGACUGAGCCAUUUC